rnacentral:lncRNA from 1 species
AAAUCUUUCCCGGUUGCAGCCGUGAAUAAUCAAGGGCAGAGACCAGUUAGAACGGUUCAGUGUGGAAAACGGGAAACCAAAAGCCCCUCUGAAUCCUGCGCACCGAGAUUCUCCCAAGGCAAGGCGAGGGGCUGCAUUGCAGGGUCCAGUUGCAGCGUUGGAAUACAAAUGCAGCAUUCCUAAGGCACACAUGACACCCAAAAUAUAACACCCACAUUGCU